ensembl:snRNA U6 U6 spliceosomal RNA
GUGCUCACUUCAGCAGCACAUAUACUAUAUGAAAGUGGAACAAUACAGAGAAGAUUAACACGGCCCCUGCACAAGGAUGACACACAAAUUCAUGAAGCAUUCUGUAUUUUU